GACACUAAACUCACCUGCACAAUUCACUGUGCUCCUUUUCAUAAUUGGAUAUUUAAAAGCGACGGCCGUUGAAACAAUGUCAGCCAGGAAUUACCUGCAUUUUCAAUUUAAAAAAAAUAAUAUUAUAUAUCCAAAUCAAUUAGAUAACUAAGAGUAUGUAAAAUUUGAGCAUGUGCGUGUAUGCAUCUGUGUGGCAAGAAGGCGAAUGUAUGAAAUCCUACUGUGAGGCUUCAGCUUCUUGACGCUCCUUGCCUAGCUUCACGUGAAAACAGUUUUAACCAGCACGUGAAUAUUUUCUUUACUUCCAGAGAUCUGAAUGACAUUGGAGUAUGGGACAAGAGGAAAUAAAAUUCUGUCAGCAGUUCACAAUACAGGAACAGGAUGUAUUACAUACACAAAUUUGAAAAAAAUAAAUAAAUAAAUUCAAGACAUAUAACAAUGAUAGUGACACUGGAGACCAAAAAAAAAAAAAUUUCCUUCACUUCAAGACUUAUUUACCCAGUGCAUACGACUACUUAUGUGGAGUAAAUAUUUAGAUGAGUGCUAAAAAUCGUAAUAGGGCAUUUGGUCUAGUGGUAUGAUUCUCGCUUUGGGUGCGAGAGGUCCCGAGUUCAAUUCUCGGAAUGCCCCAUUUUAUGAAUUAUUUUAGUCAACCACAAAGAAUUUUUUUAUUUCCUAGUCAAACCUGUACAGAUCUGCUAUGAAAUAAAAGAAUCAAAGACUGAAAACAAAAAUUAACUAACAUUAACAUGACAAAGUGCUAAAACUAGAUUUAAUAAUGUAAACCUUAUUAUGACAGUUGAUGGGAUACUGGAAUAAUUAUAUAUUGUUGACUCAAUUGCCUCAAUAAUGUUACAUGAUGUGGAAAAAGUGACUGCCCACUGAAAGGUCUCAAUAUUAUUGAUUCAAUAUCUUCCCUCAAUAAUGCAACCUAUGAAAAAAAAAAUUAUUGCCCUACUGAAAGGUUUAAUUAAAUAAUGCUGAUUCUAUCACUUCUAGAGUCAAUAGAUCCAAAGUUUAAGAGGAACCUCAGAACAAAGGAUGCUGACAAGAUUGUACUAAAUAUAGACUAAGAAUAUAGAAAACGGAAUAUUAUUACAUCAAGAAGCAUCAAGAAUUAGUGUAUUACUCUAAACCGCAUAUAAAAACCAAAUAACAGAGGUAUUGAAAGUCCACGACGGUAAAUAGAAAUAUUAAGUUUUGGCAUCAAAUAACUUAGCAAGAUACAAAAAUUGAAGCAAAUUUAAUCGACACUAAACUCACCUGCACAAUUCACUGUGUGUCGAAUAAUAAGGUAUUUAAAAGCAGCCGCUAUUGACAACACAUGUCAGCCAGGAAUUACCAGCAUCAGCAAUGAGAAAAAUAGUAUGAUCUACCCAAAGCAAUCAGAAAAUUAAGAAAACAUCAAAUCAUGCAAAUAAGCCUUGAGAGCAUGUACAUGUGUACAUCUGCAUGGCAUGAAGGUGAAUGCAUGAAAUCCAAUACUGAAACUUCAGCUUCUUGUUGCUCCUUGCCCAGCUUCAUGUGAAAACAUUUUUAAGCAGCACGUGCAUAUUUUUUUCCAGAGAUCUAAACGACAUUGGAGUGGGGCCAAGAGGAAAUAAAAUUUUGUCAGCAGUUCAUUCUACCUGUACAGGAGGUAUACAGUAUGUAUACAUCCCAAAAUUUGGAAGAAUAUAGUCUAGAUAUAUAGCAAUGAUUGGCGACACUGGAGACAUAAAAUUUUCCUUCACUGUAAGCCCAGUGUUUACUAUUUAUUAUGUGGAGUAAAGAUUUAUUUGAGUGCUAAAAUCAUCAGUAAU
rnacentral:lncRNA from 1 species